rnacentral:rRNA from 1 species
UACGAAGGGGGCUAGCGUUGUUCGGAAUCACUGGGCGUAAAGCGCGUGUAGGCGGAUUGUUAAGUCGGGGGUGAAAUCCCGAGGCUCAACCUCGGAACUGCCUUUGAUACUGCAAAUCUCGAGUCCGGAAGAGGUGAGUGGAAUUCCUAGUGUAGAGGUGAAAGUCGUAGAUAUUAGGAAGAACACCAGUGGCGAAGACGGCUCACUGGUCCGGUACUGACGCUGAGGUGCGAAAGCGUGGGGAGCAAACAGG